UGUGCUUGGACUUAGAUAACAGACCUAGAUCACCAUUAGCAGGGAAUGCAUUUGUCAAGGACGAUUCUUUGACAGAAUUUCGUUGGACAUCACACCUGUGAAUAGUGUGAAACCAAUCUCCUUGCUAUGUUUAUGCUUCUCGUUACCGUUAGACAUCCUAACCCCCUCACCCACUCUCCACUUUCACAUAUGGACACAAACCUUUUCCGCUGUGUUUUCUGUUGUGGUGCACAGCCUUGGAGCAGCAGGGAACAGCUGUACGAGAGAAACUGGAGAGGAGAGUGGUUGAGCUGGAGAACAAACUGGCAGAACAACAAGGUUCAGGAGACACUGCAGCAGAGGUGAAGCGUGUGAUGAAUGGAGUGUUCCAUUCUCUCCGAGGGGAGUUUGACCUCAGUGAGUCGUACAGUGGCCAGGCUGUGCUGGGGGUGAUUGUCACCACCAUCAAGAAUGUAACCCUGCAGCCGCUGAGCAACUCCGAGAAAUCAGCACCGACACCGAGUAAGAAGGAAGAGGAAGAGGAGGAAGAGGAGGUCAAACCACAGCAGAACGUUCAUGUGAAUGGAGAAUGAGAAGAGGAAGUCAAAGAGGAAGAGAAGGAGGAAGUACAUGUGGCUCAAUCUGAGUCUCAACCACUCGGCAAGGACCAGAAGGACGAGGAAGUAUUGGAAAAGACAGAAACGGUUCCUGUGUCA